rnacentral:misc_RNA from 1 species
GGUCGAUCCUGCGGGAUGGAUGCCAUGGAUUAUCGGGACUAUACCAAAUGCUACUGUCUACUGUGCAGAAUAUGAGAAUACUGGACCAGGUUCUGUAGUCACUGGUCGAGUGACUUGGCCGGGAUACAAGUCCAGCAUUAGUGCCGAAGAAGCGAAGAAAUUUACAGUGGAAGAAUUUCUACAGGGGAGUGACUGGAUAUCAGAGAAUGGUGUUGAAUUUACGUCUAGUUUGUGAUUUCACCCAUUUCAUUAUGUACAAGUUGAGAGCAUUAGAUGUAUGGGGACAAAAUUAAA